UACAGAGGGUGCGAGCGUUGUCCGGAAUUACUGGGCGUAAAGGGCGCGUAGGCGGCCUGUUAAGUCGAACGUGAAAUCCCCGGGCUCAACCCGGGAACUGCGUCCGAUACUGGCAGGCUUGAAUCCGGGAGAGGGAUGCGGAAUUCCAGGUGUAGCGGUGAAAUGCGUAGAUAUCUGGAGGAACACCGGUGGCGAAGGCGGCAUCCUGGACCGGCAUUGACGCUGAGGCGCGAAAAGCCAGGGGAGCAAAGCGGG
rnacentral:rRNA from 1 species